rnacentral:rRNA from 1 species
CGGACGGGUUAGUAACGCGUGGGAAUAUGCCCUUUUCUGCGGAAUAGCCUCUGGAAACGGAGAGUAAUACCGCAUACGCCCUUCGGGGGAAAGAUUUAUCGGAGAAGGAUUAGCCCGCGUUAGAUUAGGUAGUUGGUGGGGUAAUGGCCUACCAAGCCUACGAUCUAUAGCUGGUUUUAGAGGAUGAUCAGCAACACUGGGACUGAGACACGGCCCAGACUCCUACGGGAGGCAGCAGUGGGGAAUCUUGGACAAUGGGGGCAACCCUGAUCCAGCCAUGCCGCGUGAGUGAUGAAGGCCUUAGGGUCGUAAAGCUCUUUCGCCUGUGAAGAUAAUGACGGUAGCAGGUAAAGAAACCCCGGCUAACUCCGUGCCAGCAGCCGCGGUAAUACGGAGGGGGUUAGCGUUGUUCGGAAUUACUGGGCGUAAAGCGCACGUAGGCGGAUCGGAAAGUUGGGGGUGAAAUCCCGGGGCUCAACCCCGGAACUGCCUCCAAAAC